UACGUAGGGGGCAAGCGUUGUCCGGAAUCAUUGGGCGUAAAGAGCGUGUAGGCGGUUCCGGUUAGUCGGCUGUGAAAGUCAAGGGCUCAACCCUUGAAUGCCGGUCGAUACUGCCGGACUAGAGUCCGGAAGAGGCGAAGUGGAGUUACCCGUGUAGCGGUGAAAUGCGCAAGAUAUCGGGGAGGAACACCAAUGGCGAAGGGCAGCUUGCUGGGACGGU
rnacentral:rRNA from 1 species